rnacentral:rRNA from 1 species
AUUGAACGCUGGCGGCAUGCCUUACACAUGCAAGUCGAACGGUAACGCGGGGCAACCUGGCGACGAGUGGCGAACGGGUGAGUAAUGUAUCGGAACGUGCCCAGUUGUGGGGGAUAACUGCUCGAAAGAGCAGCUAAUACCGCAUACGACCUGAGGGAGAAAGCGGGGGAUCGCAAGACCUCGCGCAAUUGGAGCGGCCGAUAUCAGAUUAGGUAGUUGGUGGGGUAAAGGCUCACCAAGCCAACGAUCUGUAGCUGGUCUGAGAGGACGACCAGCCACACUGGGACUGAGACACGGCCCAGACUCCUACGGGAGGCAGCAGUGGGGAAUUUUGGACAAUGGACGCAAGUCUGAUCCAGCCAUGCCGCGUGCGGGAAGAAGGCCUUCGGGUUGUAAACCGCUUUUGUCAGGGAAGAAACGCUCUGGGUUAAUACCUCGGGGUAAUGACGGUACCUGAAGAAUAAGCACCGGCUAACUACGUGCCAGCCGCCGCCGUAA